rnacentral:rRNA from 2 species
CUGUAGUCGGUCCCAAGGGUUGGGCUGUUCGCCCAUUAAAGCGGUACGCGAGCUGGGUUCAGAACGUCGUGAGACAGUUCGGUCCCUAUCCGUCGUGGGCGUAGGAAAUUUGAGAGGAGCUGUCCUUAGUACGAGAGGACCGGGAUGGACAUACCUCUGGUGUACCAGUUGUCGUGCCAACGGCAUAGCUGGGUAGCUAUGUGUGGACGGGAUAAGUGCUGAAAGCAUCUAAGCAUGAAGCCCCCCUCAAGAUGAGAUUUCCCAACUUCGGUUAUAAGAUCCCUCAAAGAUGAUGAGGUUAAUAGGUUCGAGGUGGAAGCAUGGUGACAUGUGGAGCUGACGAAUACUAAUCGAUCGAAGACUUAAUCAA